rnacentral:lncRNA from 1 species
CUCCAGAACAAAUUAAGUUCUUAACCCGAGGUGCCACUGUACUGAACGGACGGCCAAACAGGAAGUAGGAAGUGAAGCUGAAAAGUAGGUUUAAGAAUUAAAGGAGCAGCAGUGCUAUUUUUCUAGAAAAAGGUGCCAGAACUCACCAUGAAUGCCUCCUUCAUUCCCUUAGAAUAGCAAUGGCGUCCACCUGAGAGGUGUCAGAACUGAUUUCCAGAGAGUUCCGGCUGAAAAAAGGCCCUCGGGAGCAGUAUAAUUUCAGGCCUUACUGAGGACUUUCAAGCAGCCUUGGUUAGGAGUAGUUCCCUUGGAAUAAGGUUUGUCACCUGAAGAUGUUUGUUUAUAAUUACUUUCUCAGCAUAGAAAAUUGAUUCCAUAGCCAAUCCGAACUGAUCUUCCUUCCCCUUGUC